CCUGCCCGGGUGCUCGAGCCGCCGCAGCAGAGCCAACUUUGGAAAAAGUUUUUUUUGGAAGACUCGCGCUUUGAGGUGCCCAGCCCUGCGCUUUCUGAUUUGGGGGACCUUUCCAGAAAAUGUUGCAGAAAAACUAAGCCAGCGGGCAGAGGAAAACGCCUUUAGCCGGCGAGGGAAGACGAGCCACCGACUGCCGCGUUCCUUUUCCUCUUGGAGGUUGGAGUCCCCUGCGCGCCCCCACACGGCUAGACGCCUUGGCUGGUUCGCGACGCAGCCCCCCGGCCGUGGAUGCUCGCGCGGGCUCGGGAUCCGCCCAGGUAGCGGCCUCGGACCCUGGUCCCGUGCCCAGGUCCUCCCCAGCCCCCCAGCGACGGAGCCGGGGC
rnacentral:other from 1 species